GAAAAAGAGUCUCUCAUGAUUCAUCGGCGCUAUGUCAUCGCUUUGGAACUUCAAAACUUUGCUUGCUAUUUUCUUAAAAUACAUCUAAAGAGAAAAUGCAGAAUAUAAAAUCUCAAUCGGAAUGAGAGAUUUUAAAUUAAUAGUGUAGUAGCAUUAGAUAUCUGCAAAAAGAAGGAAAGACAUAUCAACAACAUAUAUAUGCAUAAACCACGUAUCCACAUAUCGCAGAAAAGAACAGCUGCGUUCAGAAGGAGGUCGAAACUCUGGGAAUUGUAACUUUUAGCCGAUUUUUAAGUGAUGCAGUGAGAAUCUUUCGUCAGGUAAAGGAAAAUGAAAAAGAAUGGAAGUUAUUGUCUACAUACUGCCACCUGAAUAAUACAAAACAAGAUGGAUGUGAUAAGGGAUCAUCUUCUGGUACCAGCGAAGUAUAUGAUACUGACAGAUGGGAGAAUCUGUCUAACAGUUCACAGAAACUGGCUUUCUCGGCUGCUCACAGCCGGCCCGUUUACGUUUAUCAAUCACGAUCGACUGUCCAGCGAUGAAAUUGCGGCACAACCCACUCUUGAUAAAUUGGGUUGUGAUUGGCUGAGAAUUUAUGCAAAAGUAUACGUAAAGCAAUACAAGAAUGCAAUACCUUUGCCAAGAGGCAGGCCUACAACCAGCACGCGGAAUCAAGCGGAGUUAAUGUUCUCGCAAUUGUUGCAUUAUGUAGCUGAAACAAACUAUCGGAAUUUAUGGAAGGAAACGUACAAAAAGUAUUACAGCCCCUGGAACUUUGUCGAGCAAAAAGAGCAGUCUAACAUCGGUACGAAUGUGAGUGACGUUGUUAUUAUGCACGAAGUAUUGAAUAGGAUGUACGGCUGUACUUUAGUACAAGUGCAACACGGUACUGUCUUAUCAGUAUGCAAUGGCACGCUGUCGGAAACGCAUUGCAAUCUUGUGCCAGUCCAUUUUGCAAUAGAAACAACGUCCGCCUUCAUAAUUUUUUAUGAACAGACUGCAAAUUAUUCUCUUCGCGAGUGUGUGAUGUACAGUCCUGCUGCUCUUAGUACAAGUCAUGGAAAACCAUUGUUCGUAGUUUAUCAAUUACUGAGAUUAUCCAGAGACUUGCAUGAUCGUGGUCUCGCGUUGGGAGAAAUUUCACUCAGUGAUAUUCUAGUCACGGAUAACUUUACUAUUCAGGUAUUACCAAAAUUAAGCGAUAAUAUUUAUUUGAAACCCGAAAGUGAGUGCAUAGUGAGCUCUGCCACUUCUCAAGAUGGCAAAGAGAAAAUUCCAAAUAAUAAUGCUUACGGCAAGAAAGACGGCACGCCUCAAUCGCACAACAGUGACUUCGGUUUGAACGAGAGUAUCGAGAAGUUGUGCGAGAUGUGGGUGUACAACUGCAUCAGCAAUUUCGAUUAUUUGACCGCGCUGAAUAAUCUGGCCGGCAGGAGAUACGGCGAUCCCAGUUGCCAUCACGUUAUGCCGUGGGUGACAGACUUUACGUCGCGGAGCGGCGGCAACUGGCGGGAUCUAACAAAGUCGAAGUUUCGAUUGAAUAAAGGAGACAGACAACUAGAUCUCACGUUCGAGUCGCAAUCUGAGGUCGGGCAUCAUGUGUCGGACGUUUUGUCGGAGAUCACGUAUUACGUGUACCUUUCACGUCGAUACAAUAAAUCCGUGCUUUGCAAGCACGUGCGACCUUUGUGGGUGCCCGGAGAAUAUCCAGCUUCGAUUCAGAGAUUGCACGAUUGGAGUCCCGACGAAUGCAUACCGCAAUUCUUCUCCGAUGCCAAUGUUUUUAAGUCUAUUCACGAGGAUCUGCCAGAUUUGGAAAUUCCAGCAUGGGCGACUUCUCCGGAGGAUUUUAUCGAGAAGCACAGAGAGGCGUUGGAAAGCUUUUACGUUUCGGAGAGAUUGCAUCACUGGAUAGAUUUGACUUUUGGCUACAAAUUGUCCGGUUCCGCUGCUGUAAAGUCGAAAAACGUUUGCCUGCAGUUGGUCGACAAUCAUACUGGCUUAACCAAUUCCGGGGUUGUGCAGCUCUUCACACAGCCGCAUCCGCAAAAAAUCAUUCCAUCGCCUUAUUGGGGCAAAGUACCGCCGCGUCUGCGGUCGGCGUCUUCGACUAAUAAAAGCCGGGGCGAUCAGUCCGCGAGUAGAAUCAGCGACGAUGAAGGCCACAGCUCCGGCGUCGAGGAGGAAGAGCUGCCCGCGACGGCGGCGAAUGCGUCGCGAUCGUCGCCUCUCGUGCUGAGUCGCUUGCUAAGCCGUUCCAGAGGCUCGUUACUCACGGAGGAUAACGUGAAGACGGACAAGCCCGUGAACCAACCUAUCGUUCUUCCGAAGGACUUCAAUCCCGUCGCGGCGAUCGUGCAAGUGGAGACCAUGCACGCCUUCAUGAAUAAAGUCAAUCAUCAAGUUUACAAGCCGGCGGUGGGAUCGCACGAUCUUUCCGCGAAUUACAAGCAAAUUGUGGCCAGCGGUCGUAUCAAGGAGCAACAAAUACUCGGUUGUCUGAUCGUGGAGAUAUUUCUGGCCGGCAAAUUUCGCGCGACGUGGAACGUCGAGAAAGCGUCGUUCGCGCGGCGAUUCGCGACGUGCCUGAACACGUUGAAGACGUCGGCGGACAAUUUACCGAAAUGCAUCAGAAACAUCGUGUCUCUGUUGCUGCAAGUUGAUAUCAUGCCGAAGAGUUAUAACAUCGGCAAUGUGGAAAUGAAUGACAUUUCAACGAUGAACGAAAUUCCCUUUCGUUAUCCAACGAUAACGUACAUGGGCCUUCCGCCGCCGUCCGCGCAUCAGUUCCUCCAGCCGAUAUUAUCCAGCAGUCUGUUCCCGUUCUCCAAGUAUUGCCAGUAUUUAUACAAUAUCGUGGAAAUGCUGCAAGAUUUCAACGGUUUGACGCGAGAAUUGAAUUCCAUCGUGAAGAUCGAGGAUGACGCGGACUCUAUAGCCAAAACGAAGACGAAGUAUCUCUGUAAAAUAAGCGAGUGCAAGGUGAAGGCGAUCGCUCGCGAACUGGAGCGGCUGCUGCCUUACGCCGGCGGUGCGAGAGAGGCCACCUUGCAAUUAAUAGUUCCUCACAUAGUGCAAAUCAUGGAAGAGCCUUACAGCGCGGUGUUGGCGGUGUGGUAUCUUUUCGAUCCCAUUGCGAAAACGUUAGGACCGAAGGACACAGCCGACACAUUCCUCCCGUCUAUCACGAAACUGUACGAAAACGGUUCCAUUAUGGACACUGCAUUGUACAUCGACGUGCUGCCUGCGGGAACGCUCGCCAAGUUCCGGACCACUCGGUUGUAUCACAGAACAUUCCUGUUGAAGCUGAUUGUCAGAUUGGGGCUGCGCAGAUUCUUGGACAAUUUUAUAAAUCCGCUGGUGGAAGCGGUGGGAGGGUACAAGGAUUACGUGCAGGGUUCGCUCGGCACGUGCACCCACAGAACUGGGAAUCUGAAGAGCUGCGACUUGAGUGGACCCUGCAGUGACGGAGAAGGCAUCUUAUCUCCGCUGGAUGAAGAUUCAUUCGCGGAUGUCGAGCACAAUGUUGUCUCACCUUCCGCACCGACGCUCAACGAUCAUGUGUCUAACGUGACGACGGAUAACGACGUCGAAGAAGUCUUUACUAUGGAGACGGAGGACAAUUCGUGGACUUCUCUGAACAACGCCGCGCCGUACGACAUCGACUUACACAUAGAUCUCAAUUUGAACGUGAAUGACGACUCGAACGACGACGGCGGUAAAAACUCGCCGAGCGGCUCGGUCAAGUCACCGACGAUCCCGAUACCCAAGCAGGCGAACACCAGCGGGGCGAAAUUGGUGACCGAGUUCAACAGCAUCGGCUGCAACGUCGGCAGCAAGACUUCCAGCGAGGAUUUCACAUACGUCAACGUGUACGCCACGAAUGUCCAUUCCGGCAGCAAUCUCUCGGAGAGCGUAUGCGGCGCGGAAGCCAGGGAAGACAAUCCCGCCGCGCCCACCGGCGAGCCCGACGACAAGUGCGACGCCAUCGAGUCCGACGGUGGUGCGCAUCAGCUGGAUCAGAUCUAUCAGAGAUCCACGCCGAGCGAGUGCACGAUUUCCGAGAUGAGCGCGGAAUCCGUAAUCUGGCUGUCCCACAGACUCGGCCCGGUGCUCACGGCGCGACACCUGUCGCGCAACCUCCUGAGAAUGCUCACCCUCUGUUACGCCGGCAAGGAGAAUCUAACCCCGAUCGACGACAGCAGUUUCGCGUGCUUCGAGGGUGACGCGUGGAGGAAGCCGAUAUUGGCCGGUGAUCAGAAUGCUAUCAAAGUGCUGGAGUGUCUCACAGCUAUCGCAGGAUUAUACGGGGAACAAAUUAUUUUGCUACAGUACUUCGCACAUAUGGUUGAACUGUUGGCGCUGUGCAAAAGAAAGCUAACGCAGAACUUGGAGGGAGGCCUGGUUUCUUGCCUGGCUCUGUUGAAUCACAUCACGGCGUAUCUCAGCGACUCCGCCGUGAUGGACGUGCUUCAUGAACCGAUCGUUAAAUCCAUACUGCAUCCGACAGUGCGCAUACUGUCAACCGCGAGAUUCACAUUCCCAAAUGGAACCCUCGCGCGUGUCGCCUUGGCAGAAAAAUGCCUGGAGGCGAUGUUCACGCUCAGCCUACGUCUCGGCAGCGUAAUUACGAAGAAUCAUUUAGCGGUGCCGAUUCAGCGCUUCUUCCUGGCCUUCGACAAGGCUUUCAGUGAGAAUUUCGGCACCGAGGGUCCGUCGGAUAAUCCUGGGAAGAAAGCAAGCGCAAUCACGAAAGCUGCGAGUGAGGGCGGAUCGGAUAACAAUGGAGCUUACGUGUGGAAUAAGCUUGACGCGGAUGUCGCAGAUUCGUAUUCCCCUCCGGUCUUAGAAAAUAGCAACGUGCCGGAUUUGCAAAGAAAUCGAGCAUUUGAGGAGCUGCGAGCUGUGUUCACAACCGAGUUCGCUCACAAAGCGUACAUGCUCUUUUAUAGAUGCGUCGACAGUGAGAUAAUAGAGCAGAUACUUAAAAAUCACGAGCACAUACAGGAGCUUUGUCACGAUUAUGAGCAAGGGGCGAAAGUGACUUCCUUGAACAUUGAUGCGGAUAAGUACAACACGUUGGCUUUCGUGGAUCGCGACGUGGCGGAAAGUGCGGAAGCGAUUGACAAAGGUGCCUGCAGCUUCGGAAAUAUAUCUGUGAUAGGAAACCGCUUCGAGAUACAGAAGGACGACGCCAGAUCCCAGUCGGCGACGGACGCGGGUGGCGCCGCGAGCCGCGAGACAAUCGGCCCGUCAUCCGCCGGCAGACAGUUGCGCGGCAAUUGGCUGGCAUAUUGGGAGCACGAGAUCGGCCGACCGGACAAGGACACGAUAUUCAAUAUAAAACAGAUAAAGCUGCAGACUUUCAGCGGACACACGAACAGCAUAAGGUGUUUGUACGUACUGGACAACGAGAACAGCUUCAUGAGCGGCGGCAGGGACAAAACCGUGAAAUUGUGGAGUUUGCGAAGCCAGGGCGAUGGAAAUACAGUCUCGUCGUGCCAAUACACGUACACCGGCCACAAGAAGUCCAUCCUGUCGCUCACGUUUCUGGAAUCUCUGAGAUACGCGGUGACAUGCGACGGCGUGAUUCACUGCUGGGAUCCUUUCAUGGGCUCGCUGCUCGGAUGUCCAGAGAGCAGUCGUCCUGUCCCCGUCAACACCUUAGCCUCGAGUCCCUCCCCGUCGACGACCCUUCUUGUGGGCACAACCGACAUUACUCUUCGAGUUAUUGAUUGCAGGACAUUCCAGUACGUUAACGAAAUGAAGGUUUCUAUGAAUCCAACUGGCUUGAUAAGAUGCAUCGUAGUGGCACCCAGCGGCAAUUGGGUUGCCUUGGGUCAGGCGUCAGGCUUUUUGACAAUACUCGACACUCGCACCGGACUGAUUAUCGCGUCUUGGAAAGGACACGAGUGCGAGAUACUGCAGUUGGAAGUCAUAAAUGAGACCACUAUAGUUAGCUCUUCGUUGGAUCAGACAAUUGCUGUGUGGAGCGCGGUGGACGGAAAACUCAAAUUUCACAUGAAAGGCGCUACGGAGCCCGUUCAUUGCAUGGCGACGUACGAGCAGGAGUUAGUAAUAGGAACAACAGCGAACCGAAUUGGCGUCUACACCGCGGUGGAAAUGACCGCUUCGUUCUCCUCGUCCAAGUUGAGAUCCGACGCUUUCAAAGGCGUUCUUACUGCCAUGGCCGUCCUCCCUCUUAAUCGAUUGCUGUUAUUGGGCGCCGACAAUGGUGGAAUAACAUUACUGUGUUGAGAAUCUCGGGCGUUAUAUACACAAAGCGUAUGCUGAAAUAUGAAAUCUAAAGUCUUCCAAGCUUGAUCGAACAACGGCCGAGCGAGAGCGUUGUGCAAUAUGUGAAGACGCGUGGCUAGUUCCUGGAACAUGGGGCAGCCGCUUGGCGUUACCGAUAGCGAAGCCACUUCUUUCGAGGGCUGCAUCGCAAACCACCUGAAGAAUAAAGAGACGUAAAUUCAGCCACCGAGUCGCUGAUUUCAUUUAUCAGUUGCGUCUCCAAUCGCCGCAAGAGAACCACAGCUUCGUCGAACACGGUGCCUUCCAUCUCUC